rnacentral:tRNA from 1 species
UCCCUGGCAGUCCUGUGGUUAGGACUCCACGCUUCCAAUGCUGGGGUCCAGGUUCAGUCCCUGGUUGGGGAA